CCUACGGGCGGCUGCAGUGGGGAAUAUUGGACAAUGGGCGGAAGCCUGAUCCAGCAAUACCGCGUGUGUGAAGAAGGCCUGAGGGUUGUAAAGCACUUUCAAUUGGGAGGAAAACCCACCGGCCAAUACCCGGUGGCUUGACAUUACCUUUAGAAGAAGCACCGGCUAACUCCGUGCCAGCAGCCGCGGUAAUACGGAGGGUGCAAGCGUGAAUCGGAAUUACUGGGCGUAGAGUGGGCGUGUCCGAUUUGAAAGCCCCGGGCUUAACCUGGGAACUGCAUUUGAAACUGGCAGGCUAGAGUUGGGUAGAGGGGAGCGGAAUUUCAGGUGUAGCGGUGAAAUGCGUAGAUAUCUGAAGGAACACCAGUGGCGAAGGCGGCUCCCUGGACCCAAACUGACGCUGAGGUACGAAAGCGUGGGUAGCAAACAGGAUUAGAUACCCCAGUAGUC
rnacentral:rRNA from 1 species